CUGGCUCAGAUUGAACGCUGGCGGCAGGCCUAACACAUGCAAGUCGAGCGGAUGACGGGAGCUUGCUCCUUGAUUCAGCGGCGGACGGGUGAGUAAUGCCUAGGAAUCUGCCUGGUAGUGGGGGACAACGUUUCGAAAGGAACGCUAAUACCGCAUACGUCCUACGGGAGAAAGCAGGGGACCUUCGGGCCUUGCGCUAUCAGAUGAGCCUAGGUCGGAUUAGCUAGUUGGUGGGGUAAUGGCUCACCAAGGCGACGAUCCGUAACUGGUCUGAGAGGAUGAUCAGUCACACUGGAACUGAGACACGGUCCAGACUCCUACGGGAGGCAGCAGUGGGGAAUAUUGGACAAUGGGCGAAAGCCUGAUCCAGCCAUGCCGCGUGUGUGAAGAAGGUCUUCGGAUUGUAAAGCACUUUAAGUUGGGAGGAAGGGCAGUAAGUUAAUAC
rnacentral:rRNA from 1 species